GGCCUUGUAGCUCAGAGGUUAGAGCGCUCGUUUCCGAUGCGAGAAGUCCCAGGUUCGAUCCCUGGCCAGGUCG
rnacentral:tRNA from 2 species